ensembl:miRNA MIR488 microRNA 488
GAGAAUCAUCUCUCCCAGAUAAUGGCACUCUCAAACAGGUUUCCAGGUUGUUUGAAAGGCUGUUUCUUGGUCAGAAGACUCUCAAUUCCUUCUGGA